rnacentral:lncRNA from 1 species
GUAGGGACCUCUGGGAGAAACACUGAGCAACAGCCUCCUCCUCUGCUUACCUCCUCCAGGCUCAAGUCUGGGAGACCUACUCCAGGAGGCGCUGUUCCCAGAGUCUGUGCAGAAGCUCUGUCCUCCUACUCGGAGCACUUGGGAAGGCUGCAUCUGGCCUGUCUUCCUUUCCUGGUCUGAGCAUUGUACUGAGUUCUACUGCUCAGCUUCCUGAGGUUUUCA